UGAGGAAUAUUGGUCAAUGGGCGAGAGCCUGAACCAGCCACGUCGCGUGAAGGAAGACUGACCUUACGGUUUGUAAACUUCUUUUGUAGAGGGGUAAUGGCAGAUACGUGUAUUUGCGUGAAAGUACUCUACGAAUAAGCAUCGGCUAACUCCGUGCCAGCAGCCGCGGUAAUACGGGGGAGGCGAGCGUUAUCCGGAAUUAUUGGGUUUAAAGGGUGCGCAGGUGGCUAAUCAGGUCAGUGGUGAAAAGCUAUGGCUCAACCAUGGUCUUGCCAUUGAAACCGUAUAGCUAGAGAGUAGACGAGGUAGGCGGAAUGUGUGGUGUAGCGGUGGAAUGCAUAGAUAUCACACAGAACUCCGAUUGCGAAGGCAGCUUACCAGGCUUUAUCUGACACUUAGGCACGACAGCGUGGGGAUCAAACAGG
rnacentral:rRNA from 1 species